GGCGAGGUAGCUCAGGCGGUUAGAGCGCAGGAUUCAUAACCCUGAGGUCGCGAGUUCAACUCUCGCUCUCGCUA
rnacentral:tRNA from 1 species